ACGGGGUGCAGCAGGCGCGAAAACUUUGCAAUACACGAAAGUGUGACAGGGUCAUCCCGAGUGCCGACCGCUGAGGUUGGCUUUUACCCAGUCUAGAAAGCUGGGGGAAUAAGGAGAGGGCAAGUCUGGUGUCAGCCGCCGCGGUAAUACCAGCUCUCCGAGUGGUGUGGAUGUUUAUUGGGCCUAAAGCAUCCGUAGCUGGCUAAGUUAGUCCUUUGUUAAAUCCACCGAAUUAAUCGUUGGAUUGCGGGGGAUACUGCUUGGCUAGGGGACGAGAGAGGCAGACGGUAUUUUUGGGGUAGGGGUGAAAUCCUAUAAUCCCAGGAAGACCACCAGUGGCGAAGGCUGUCUGCUAGAACGCGCCCGACGGUGAGGGAUGAAAGCUGGGGGAGCGAACCGGAUUAGAUACCCGGGUAGUCCCAGCUGCAAACGAUGCAAACUAGGUGUUUGAACGGCCACGUGCCGUUCUAGUGCCGCAGGGAAGCUGUUAAGUUUGCCGCCUGGGGAGUACGAUCGCAAGAUUGGAACUUAAAGGAAUUGGCGGGGGAGCAC
rnacentral:rRNA from 1 species